UCCCAGACUCCUACGGGAGGCAGCAGUGGGGAAUAUUGGGCAAUGGGCGCAAGCCUGACCCAGCAACGCCGCGUGAAGGAAGAAGGCUUUCGGGUUGUAAACUUCUUUUAAGAGGGAAGAGCAGAGACGGUACCUCUUGAAUAAGCCACGGCUAACUACGUGCCAGCAGCCGCGGUAAUACGUAGGUGGCAAGCGUUGUCCGGAUUUACUGGGUGUAAAGGGCGUGCAGCCGGGCUUACAAGUCAGAUGUGAAAUCCUGCGGCUCAACCGCAGAACUGCAUUUGAAACUGUAGGUCUUGAGUACUGGAGAGGCAGACGGAAUUCCUAGUGUAGCGGUGAAAUGCGUAGAUAUUAGGAGGAACACCAGUGGCGAAGGCGGGCUGCUGGACAGCAACUGACGGUGAGGCGCGAAAGCGUGGGGAGCAAACAGGAUUAGAUACCCGCGUAAC
rnacentral:rRNA from 1 species